rnacentral:tRNA from 2 species
ACUAGCCGAAUUGGUACAGGCGCUUGACUGAUAAUCAAGUCCCGCAAGGGAUGUGGGUUCAAUUCCCACGUUUUUA